rnacentral:rRNA from 1 species
GGAGUCCAACGUGUGCGCGAGUCGUUGGGUGUCAAAACCCAAAGGCGUAAUCAAGGUGAAGGGAAGCUUGUCUUUCCUAGGGAGGAGGGGAACUCCGUGCCUAACGGGCGGACUCCCCGCACUCCCGCGGCGUCUCAGGCUCAUCGCGAGCCGAGGCGGACCUAGAGCGUUCACGUUGGGACCCGAAAGAUGGUGAACUAUGCCUGGCCAGGACGAAGCCAGGGGAAACCCUGGUGGAGGUCCGUAGCGGUUCUGACGUGCAAAUCGAUCGUCAGAGCUGGGUAUAGGGGCGAAAGACUAAUCGAACCAUCUAGUAGCUGGUUCCCUCCGAAGUUUCCCUCAGGAUAGCUGGCGCCCAGGUCGAGACGAGUCUCAUCUGGUAAAGCGAAUGAUUAGAGGCAUUGGGGUCGAAACGACCUCAACCUAUUCUCAAACUUUAAAUGGGUGAGAUCCCCGGCUUGCUUGAUCGAGUGAAGCCGGGGCUCGGAUCCGGGUGCCAAGUGGGCCAAUUUUG